UCAAUUGUUGCCUUAAUGAAGACAGAGCAGUUUUACAUGAUGCAGGAGACACAGAUUUGUUUCAGUCCUGAACAGGAGAACCCAGGACCGCCGGUCUCGGUCCAGUCAGGUCCACCUUUGAUGAAGGUUCUGAGACAGUCUGAAGGGACCCGAGGCCUUGACGACCCGUCUCUCUGUGUCUCUCUCGUUUGUAAAGUCUUCUCUUCUCUUCUUUUCUGUGUUUUGUCACCAUAAACAGAACUGUUGACUCCAUGUUUCCUGCAGAGACUGUUGUCCAUCAGAACUUUGUCUUCCAGGAGGAUUCUGUCUCACAGGAGACAAGUUUGGAUAUUUUCCCUUCAUGUGCAGGUUUUCCAAUAAAAAAGCCCACCGGACAUCAGACCUGAUCUGAGUCCUGCGGUUCUGGACCUGAGCUGUACUUUGUUUGAAGUAGAAAAGAAUAAAGUUCCCUUCAGAGUCAA